CCCCGUCCCACCUCACUGCCAUCCCAGAUCCUCGGUGGAGCUUACAUGCCUGGGCGAGCACCAGCCUUUGUUUAAAGGCAACAGAGAAUUGUGGCCUGGCUCAGAUCUCCAGCAAGCCUCCAGAA
rnacentral:lncRNA from 1 species